AAGAUUGGUUGCUAAAUGGUGUAAAAUGAAUAAAAUAUAGCCCUGUAAAGUUCGCAACUUUUGUAUAUAUUUGUAUUACGCGCGAUAAAAAUAACCACUUUCUGCUCACCAAAUGCAUGGUUAUUUUUCCCGAGUGCGAGUGCAAAUAUAUACAAAAUUUGCGAACUUUACAGGACUAUAUUUUCCUCAUUUUACAACAAUUCGCAACCAAACUU
rnacentral:miRNA from 1 species